UACAGAGGGGGCAAGCGUUGUUCGGAAUUACUGGGCGUAAAGGGCGCGUAGGCGGCCUUCUAAGUCGAACGUGAAAUCCCUGGGCUCAACCCAGGAACUGCGUCCGAUACUGGAAGGCUUGAAUCCGGGAGAGGGAUGCGGAAUUCCAGGUGUAGCGGUGAAAUGCGCAGAUAUCAGGAGGAACACCGGUGGCGAAGGCGGUUCUCUGGGCAUGUCCUGACGCUGAGGAGCGAAAGUGUGGGGAGCGAACAGG
rnacentral:rRNA from 1 species